rnacentral:rRNA from 1 species
AUGAAUGACUCUAACUGCCCUGUCAUGAGUUGGAAUGUCCGAGGCCUAAACACACCGGCGCGCCGUGUAGUUAUUUGCGGCACUGCCAACACACACAAGCUUGCAAUCCUAUGCCUUCAGGAGACGAAGAUAGAUUGCUGGUCGGCGGCCCUAGCUAGAGAGGUAGGAGGUGCAAGGCUUGACGAUUGUGUCAUCCUCCAAGCGAUGAGGAUGCAUGGAGGGAUCGCAAUCUUCUGGAACUCAGCUCUUGUCUCCGUCCAAUCUCAAGCUAUAGGUCAAUUCUCAAUCACCGCCAGAGUAACGCUU